rnacentral:rRNA from 1 species
UAAUACGUAGGGUGCGAGCGUUAAUCGGAAUUACUGGGCGUAAAGCGUGCGCAGGCGGUUUCUUAAGCCAGACGUGAAAUCCCCGGGCUUAACCUGGGAACUGCGUUUGGAACUGGGAGACUAGAGUGUGUCAGAGGGAGGUGGAAUUCCGCGUGUAGCAGUGAAAUGCGUAGAUAUGCGGAGGAACACCGAUGGCGAAGGCAGCCUCCUGGGAUAACACUGACGCUCAUGCACGAAAGCGUGGGGAGCAAACAGG